UUUCUUUGGAAGUGAUGUAAUGGUGAUGUAAUUUAUUUUAACUUUAAAUUAGGAAAUAAAUUUGCUAUUAUGUAUGUCGAAAAACUUUUGAAAACGAUACGAGAUUGAAGGCACGUUAAAAACAUAAAUAAAAAGAAAUAAAUUUGCUGUUGUGUGUCAAAAAAUCUUUGAAAUUAAAUCUAGGUUAAAGUGACAAUGGCAGUUCAGAACGAAAGCACAGAUGAAGGAAAAAGAGAUGAAAAUUAUGCCGAUAAGAAAGUAGCAGCAGAUAAUUCAAUCAACAGUGAUUUAUGGGGAUCUGAUAUGUAUCCUGAAAGAAGAGGAGCAAAGUUUAAGCCUAGCUGGUUUAAAACAUUGAUUGGUGCUGCAGGACGAGAAUCAGUAGAUAAAGCUAGAUGUGAAGAGAAUGUUUAUAGAUGCGUAAAAGAUAGUCCCAUUGUAAAACUCAUGUUGGGAGCUCUAAAAAGUUCUGGAUGUGAAGUUGAUAUACGGCGUCACAUCUCCUGUGAAAUAUGCGAUCCGAUAGUAACUGGUGGAUAUGAUUCUGAGUUAAAUCAGAUAAUUGUUUGUCAAAAUUCGGCAUCUGCUAAACGUGAAGUUCAGGGUAUUCUCCUACAUGAAAUGAUUCAUAUGUUUGACUACUGUCGUAAUAAAUUAAAUGUAAAAAAUAUUGAUCAUUUAGCCUGUACAGAAAUCAGAGCUGCAAAUAUUGGUCAUUGUAGUUUUUUGAGCUCAGUGUUUCAAGGCAAUUCAUCCUUCAGUAAUAUAAAAGCAACACAUCAGAACUGUGUAAAACACAAGGCUAAAAUGUCAGUAAUGGCUGUACAUAAAGUAUCAGCAGAAGUAGCAGAAGCAGCCAUAGACAGAGUAUUCACAAAGUGUUAUAACGAUUUAGAACCAGUUGGUAGAAGAAUUCGUAGAAAUUCAGCAGAUAUGCCGAGAGCAUACGCAGAAGCAUAUUUGUAUGGAUAUAUGUAAAUGUACAAAGAAAAAAGAAUGAAGAAAAUUGUACAUUGACUCAAUUAGAUUGUUAUGGACAAACGCUGUAGAACUUUUAUUCGGGAUCUUUUUCUUGGCAUAAUGACAGCCUGCGGUCAAUAUGCGAUUGCCGCCGCUAUUAGUUCUGCCUGGUGACGUGAAAGAGGAGCAAACCGAAUCAAUAAUGUUGAAGAUAUUAUAUUGGCCAAUGCGUUCGGAGAAACAGCCAGCGAUGCUGUGCUCUAUUGCGACAGACCUGGUAAAGAGGAAAUCGACCACAGGGAGACAAGGUGCGCGCUACGUGCCAAGAUACUUCUGUGAUCCGGAGAU
rnacentral:misc_RNA from 1 species